GUUUACCACUCUCCAGCUGACAGACUUUUAGGCUGCUCCACUAUUUGGAGAUUACAGACAGUGCUGCUGUGAAAGACAUCACAGGUCUACUAUCCAGGAUCAGCUGUACUCCAGGAAUCCAGACAACGAAAGAUACCUUCCUUUUAGAAUUACUAUGCACCGCUACUGCGCGAUUCAGGAGAUAAAAGUUUUCAAAAGCAUUGCAAACCAAGGCAGGACUCAAGGAGCCUUUUAAAAGUUCCGUUUUCACUCUGGAUGCAAUCGACACUAAAACAUCACUGUAUAGUUCUCAAAAGGUUUUUUUUUUUUUUUUUUGGUAAUCUAAAUGAAGGCAACAAAAAGGAGUCAUUAUCCCAGAGUAGGAUCAUCAUCCUCUUCAAUUCAGGAAACUAACUCACGGAGAGUGUAAGUAACUUGCCCACGGUCACAGAAGGAAUAAGUGGUGGGACCUUGAUUCAGAUCUAGGUAUCUAUGGCUUCAUCACCUCCCAGCUCGGCACCACAGGGUGAUGGUUUCCAGAUCCACACUUCAGGCUCAGCACUCUCUUCCUGACUACAGACUCCCCUAGUCAACUGACAGGGCUGCAGGGAGACUGCACUCAACAAGUGCUGGGCAAAUUCUGGGACACCGGAGAUGCCUUCACAGGGAAGAGAAGUGAAAGACACACUGGGUCCCACAGGUCUCUACCCACCCCCUGGAGGG
ensembl:lncRNA